GACGAACGCUGGCGGCGUGCCUAAUACAUGCAAGUCGAGCGGACGGAUGGGAGCUUGCUCCCAGACCGUCAGCGGCGGACGGGUGAGUAACACGUGGGCAACCUGCCUGUAAGACUGGGAUAACUCCGGGAAACCGGGGCUAAUACCGGAUAACUCUUUCCCUCACAUGAGGGAAAGCUGAAAGAUGGCAUCUCGCUAUCACUUACAGAUGGGCCCGCGGCGCAUUAGCUAGUUGGUGAGGUAACGGCUCACCAAGGCGACGAUGCGUAGCCGACCUGAGAGGGUGAUCGGCCACACUGGGACUGAGACACGGCCCAGACUCCUACGGGAGGCAGCAGUAGGGAAUCUUCCGCAAUGGACGAAAGUCUGACGGAGCAACGCCGCGUGAGUGAUGAAGGUUUUCGGAUCGUAAAGCUCUGUUGUCAGGGAAGAACAAGUACCGGAGUAACUGCCGGUACCUUGACGGUACCUGACCAGAAAGCCACGGCUAACUACGUG
rnacentral:rRNA from 1 species